rnacentral:rRNA from 1 species
UGGGGAAUUUUGGACAAUGGGCGCAAGCCUGAUCCAGCCAUGCCGCGUGCGGGAAGAAGGCCUUCGGGUUGUAAACCGCUUUUGUCAGGGAAGAAAUCUUCUGAGUUAAUACCUCGGGAGGAUGACGGUACCUGAAGAAUAAGCACCGGCUAACUACGUGCCAGCAGCCGCGGUAAUACGUAGGGUGCAAGCGUUAAUCGGAAUUACUGGGCGUAAAGCGUGCGCAGGCGGUUUUGUAAGACAGAGGUGAAAUCCCCGGGCUCAACCUGGGAACUGCCUUUGUGACUGCAAGGCUUGAGUGCGGCAGAGGGGGAUGGAAUUCCGCGUGUAGCAGUGAAAUGCGUAGAUAUGCGGAGGAACACCGAUGGCGAAGGCAAUCCCCUGGGCCUGCACUGACGCUCAUGCGCGAAAGCGUGGGGAGCAAAACAGGAUUAGAUACCCUGGGUAGUCCACGCCCUAAACGAUGUCAACUGGUUGUUGGGAAGGUUCCUUCUCAGUAACGUAGCUAACGCGUGAAGUUGGACCGCCUGGGGAGUACGGCCGCAAGGUUG